GGAACCCAAAGUCAGUGAACUCCCAAAAGGCCUCGUGCUAGGUAGAGAUGAGAAUAUGCAUAUAAUACUUACAAGAUCCACUUUCCUAGGCGAUGUGAGAUGUUACAAAAUAGACUACGGUUGAGCAGGACACAAGCAAUCGUAAAGAGAGAGUAUAUGAGUUUUCUUUUUCAGUUUGAGAGAGAGAGAGUUGUGACCCUAAGACAUUUAAGAAAAACAAAAAAUAGUCACUUAGCCUACCUAUAUGACCCACUUGAUUUUCAAAAGGCUUAAAAUUAAUUGUGACGUGGCCAACCGCAUAGCGUCUAUGUUUUUUUUUUUAGAACACUCAUUUUAAAUAAUGUUGAUAAAAUGAGCAUUAAUUAUAGAAACCCACUAAGAGUUCCUCUCUCUAGAUUUAAGAGCACGUAGAACAAUCUCUAUUUUAAAAAGUGGAUAAAGAGCGUGAUUGAAGUUGAUUUUUUAAAACCCUAUCUAAUAUAUCUUCUUCAUUAAGUUAAACUCACUCAUUGAAUAUCUACCACCAUGGCAUUGUUAUAAGGAGUUCGUGUAUGAGUUUAAAUAUGUUGACAAUUUCGUGGACAACUUAAAAAUUCCAUAAAGAUUGGGUAGUUUUAUGUUUAUUAUUACAAGUGAUAUUUUACACGAAUUUAUACUAAUAAGAGGAAGAAGAUUUGAACUUGGAGUGUAGUGUAUUGAAGUCAAAGAACAAUUGUUUAAAAUCUUGUUAGUUUGGCUAGUGAAUAGUGUCAAAAAAUUAUUUUCACUUCACAAUUUAACUUAACAUCUCUAACAAUACUAUCUAUUUUAACACUCUAAAUAUUUUAAUAGCAUUUUAAAUUCUCUCUCCUUCUCUUUAAAGUCAAAAGAACAAUUGUUCACAAAACUAGAAUAUAGAACGGAUAGAGAGUCUCUUGCCAAUUUGUGCACUUUUAUUUAAAUUAGCUAAAGAUCCACAUUCGAAAGAAGACUUUUAUGAAAUAGGCACCGCUACCGUGACGUCUUAUUUUAAUAAACCAAUGAUAUGGGUAAAAAAUUUAAUACAUGGCACUGUAUUUUAUUUUAUUUUAUUUUUAUCAAUACAUGACACUGUGUUAUUAAAUAAAUACUUCACAUUAUGAUCAUAGAUGUUCUUGUAAGUUACGGCUUCUGAGAGCAUCUCCAAAUAAGAUGUCAAAAUCUUAAGUGGAAUGUCAUUGUACAUAUUUGACAUCAAAAGUCUACAAACUGAAGUGUUAUUUGUUGACUGGAUUUGAACGCUUUGUGAUUAGGAGUCAAAUUUGAUAUCAAUGUCAAAUAUAUUUUUAAUUAAUUUUAAUGAUGUGCCCCUUAUUUUACUAACAUUUUAACCAAUAUAAAUUUUGUUUCAACAUUUUUUUAAUAAUUACAACUAUUUAAAGCUCAAUUUAAAUAAGAAAAUAAUAUUUGACAAUUUGGUUUGAGAAGUACAAAAUUUGAUAUAAAACUUCAGAUUGCUACAUUAGCUAUCAAUUGUAAUUUGACUAUUAUAAUUUUUUUUUCCCAAGAUAGAGGUGCAUUAAAUACGCAUAGAAAUGUUUACAUCCUUAGCAAGAGUGUUAAACAAAAAAUCCGGGCCAAUACAGUCCCAGAUAAACUCUUGACUUUGCUUGAAAACGUACUUAGCAACUGAGUGAGCAGCAGAAUUGCUCU
rnacentral:lncRNA from 1 species